UGGUCUUUUGAUGGUCACCAGGAAUCAGCUCAGCUUCGUAACUAAAAAGAAAAAGAAAUUGGAACAAAUUCAGACUACAAACAGUUCUCGACAGGCACAAUUGGAAUCCAAAUUUCCAUCACAAUUGUGAUUUGACCUAGUGGUUAAGGCACCAGGCUAGAAACCAGAAGACCCUGAGUUCUAAUUCCGCCUUAGGCAUGAAAGCUGACUGAGUGACUUUGGGACAGUCACUCUCUCUCAGACCAAUUCAUCUCACAGAACUGUUAUUAUUGUUGUGAGGAAAAUAGGAAGAGGAAGGCAAAAAAAGAAAACAUCUCACCACUCACCUUUGCAACUUUGCCCAUAUCUUCUAAUGUAGCUCGCUCAUUGGGAAACUGGGAGAAAGUUCUGUCUAUUUUUGCAAUAAUAGCAUC